UUUAAAAAAUAUUAAAGUAAUAAAAGUUGAAUAUAGAAUACUAGAAUAUAAUUGAAGGACUAUUAAAUAGAAAUAUCUUUAAAGAGAUAAAUCCUAAGAGAAAUCUAUAAAUAAAGAAAGGAAAAAAGAAACAUCUGAGUAUCCUAAAAUAAAAUCAACCGAGUAAGGGAAAGUAUUGGCGAAAGAAAUCCUAAGACACUGCUUAACUCAAAUUUCAGGAGUAAAUCUGAUUAUAGAGCGCGAGGUAAAUAGAAGAGUAUUAUCAUAUAGAUAAGAAAGGUGAUUCAUCAUCUUCAAAAUAUUAAUAAAAAGUAUAUUAAUAUAAAGACAAUUAUAUAUCGAUAGUGAAUAGUACUGUGAAGGAAAGUAGGAAAUAUUCAAUAAUGGAAAUUGGAAAUAAAGAUUGACAAUAUACCUUUUGUAUCAGGGUUUUACGAGUUUAUAUAAGUUACAAGUUUAAUAUAAAAAUAAGAAAGCAUAGUGAAAACAAGUAUAAAGCAAUAGUAAAAUAUAAAAGACCCGAAAACUAACGAUCUUUCCAAAGGCAACAAGAGUAAUUUGAAAAUUGAAGAUUAUGAUGUGUGAACGGGUUGAUGUUGCAAUAUCAUCCGAUGACUUUUGGAAAGUGGCGUAAUACUAAUCAAGUUAGUAAAUAGCUGGUUUUCUACGAAAACUGUUUAAGCAGUUCAUUGUAUAAAAGUGUUUUAAAGGUAAAGUAACAAUUUUAAUUAUGGGUCACAUAAGGAUUAUGUAAUUAAGAUUACCUCUGAAUUAAAAAAUACAAUACAAUAGACGGACUAUUUGCGACAAGGUGAAUAAGUCAAAAGGGAAACAGCCCAGAAUUUAUGUUAAGGUAAUUAAUAGAAGCUAAUUAUGAAAAUAUAUAUAAUCAGGUACAAUUUGUGAGUAGGCUUGGAAACAGCCAUCUUAUCAACAAAACGUAAUAGUUGACGAAUCUAAGAUUAUAAUGUAUUAAAAAUGCUGGUUAAUAAGUUUCUAACCAAAACAAAUUUAAAAGAUAAGGUAGUAGAAUAUUCUGAAGAUUCAGAAGAGCUAAUGUAAGAAUGAGUAACUCCCAUAUUGUUCUAAAAUUAUAUUAAGAUAUGAAGUUAAGUUAUAAAGAUAUAUAAUGAAUAAUGAAAAUCUGAAUAGCAGUAUGAAAUAAAAGAAUAUAAAUAAUAAAUACAAUAGGCCGAAAGAUCAAGGUUUUCACACCAAUGAUUAACAAGUGUGAGUACGAGCCUCUUAGUAUUAAACGAAAGUAAAAUAUGAUGAGAAAAAAUUACUAUAACGAUUAGUAAAAUUAGAUAUAUUAGUCCAAAAUAAAUAAAAAGAAAUGAAAUAUGAGUGGAGGAAAAAAUAAAGAAAUUAAUAUGUUAAAAGUAUUAAUUUGAAUAAUAAAAUAUAUUUAAGAAUCAAAUCCUAGAAAGAAUAGUAAAUAAAAUAAAACUGUACUUAAACUAACACAAGUGAUCAGAUGUGAAUGUAUCAAGGUUAGCUGAAUAAUAAAAAUAAAGGAACUCGGCAAAUUGAGCUUGUAAGAUAACAAGAAAAGCUGCUUAAAUUAAAACGAAAGUAAAUUCUUUUAAUAUUAAAAAUGCAUAAAGUAAUUUAAAUAUUUACAGAGUUAAAGUCUAGAUUAAUUUAGGUUGUAAUAAAAUAAAUAGAGUGGAAUGAAAAGGUGCAUAGUAUUAAAAGAAUGUUUAGGCCUCAGAUAACUCGGGAACUUGGGCUUUUUACCAAAAAAAUAUCAUUCUGCAAAGGUUAAGGACCGAAGUAUAGAAUGUGAGACCUGCUCAAUGGAUUAACUUUAAGAGAAAAAGAAGUUUUAUUUCUACAAGGUAAUCUAAAUUGCCGCAGUAACUCUGACUGUGUAAAAGUAGCGAAAUCAAUCGUCAUUUAAUUGGUGACCAGUAUGAAAGGUUUAACAAAAGUUCCACUGUCUCUAUUUUUAAUCAGGUGAAAUUAAAGUAUUGGUUAAAAUUCCAAUUUGAAGCAAUUAGACGAGAAGUCCCCAUGCAACUUUACUGUUAAGUAUAAUAGAUUAUAUAUAUUUAAAUAAAAGAGAGGAGUAAGAGUAAAAAACAACAAUGGAAUACUUACUAUUAGAUAUAUAGAUCUCAUUUUUAAUUAAAGACAAUUAUAUCCAGACAGUUUAUUUGGGGCGAAUUUCUUCUAAAAGAUAACGAAGAAUAACAAAGGUGGUUUUAAUAACAAGAAUGUUAUUAAUAUUUUAAUAGAUAUUACCACUUAACAGUAAGAAUGACAAUUCAAACUGAUAUUAAAAGUAGGUUAUAAUCAUCCAAUAAAUCUAAAUGAAAAGAUUAUUGCUAAAGAAUAAAAGUUACGCUGGGGAUAACAGGCUGGUUCAAACUGAAAGUUCAUAUUGAUGUUUGAGUUCGGUUCCUCGAUGUCGACUUAAUGUAGCUUGGUAGUUGCAUAUGCUAUCUAGAGUUGGACUGUUCGUCCAUUAAAACAUUACAUGAGUUGGGUUAAUUACGUCGUAAGACAGUAAGGCUUCUAUCUUUUGUUUCUAAUAAGUAAAAAGCUAAGAUUUUAGUACGAAAGGACCAAAUCUUAAAUUCCUCUGGUGAAUAAAUUGUUUUGCGCAUUGUUUAGUAGCUACGAAUUAGUGUAUAAGCUCUGAAAGUAUCUCAAGAGCGAAGACACCUUUUAAUCUUAUAUAACAGUUAUAGACUAUAACGACUGAUUCUAGUGUCUAUUUAAAAAAUAAAAUCUAAUUUAUAAUUAAUUAGAUAUAUUUUUUGAG
rnacentral:rRNA from 1 species